rnacentral:rRNA from 1 species
UGGGGAAUAUUGGGCAAUGGGCGAAAGCCUGACCCAGCCACGCCGCGUGAGUGAUGAAGGCCUUCGGGUCGUAAAGCUCUGUGGGGAGGGACGAACAAGCUCCGGGCUAAUCACCGGGGACCUGACGGUACCUCCUUAGCAAGCACCGGCUAACCCUGUGCCAGCAGCCGCGGUAAUACAGGGGGUGCAAACGUUGCUCGGAAUCAUUGGGCGUAAAGCGCACGUAGGCGGUCUGUUAUGUCGGAUGUGAAAGCCCUUGGCUCAACUGAGGAAGUGCAUCCGAAACUGGCAGGCUAGAGUACGUAAGAGGGUCGCGGAAUUCCCGGUGUAGAGGUGAAAUUCGUAGAUAUCGGGAGGAACACCGGUGGCGAAGGCGGCGACCUGGGACGAUACUGACGCUGAGGUGCGAAAGCGUGGGGAGCAAACA